GUUCUGACGAUGAAAGCGCACACCAUGACUUCAGCUGGUAUAAAACGUUUGGGCCUACAGAGAGGUGAAGUGAAGGAACGAUUUUUUUUUCGGGGUCGUCGUAAAAGAGGAACUUCAACGAGCGAGAACAAGCGGUGAAGAGAAGCGACAGAACGUACAAGACAGGGGAAAAGAGUGAAGAAAACGAAGCAAUUUCUCCUCAGUCCUUAUAAGAAAUCUGAAGUAAUUUUUCAAGCGGUUCCAGGCCUCAAAAGGAGUAACAAAGAAGCCUCGUUAAGCACUGAAAUUUCCCAACUGCUUACCUUCGUUGCAUCGUUAGGCUAUUCGAAAACGUCUCCAUCGUCAUCAUCUAAAUUUACUAUACCUCGACAACUAGAAGCCUACAACUAUAGACACAAAUGAAUCUGUUACCGUUUCCGCCCCAGAAUCCCUCACAAAGCUAUUUUUUGGUGCUUGAUAAUAGCAGCAGCGCUGUCAACUGCUGAGCGUGGUCAAGCAACG